rnacentral:rRNA from 1 species
AGUGAACGCUGGCGGUAGGCCUAACACAUGCAAGUCGAACGGCAGCACAGUAAGAGCUUGCCCUUACGGGUGGCGAGUGGCGGACGGGUGAGGAAUACAUCGGAAUCUACUUUUUCGUGGGGGAUAACGUAGGGAAACUUACGCUAAUACCGCAUACGACCUACGGGUGAAAGCAGGGGAUCUUCGGACCUUGCGCGAUUGAAUGAGCCGAUGUCGGAUUAGCUAGUUGGCGGGGUAAAGGCCCACCAAGGCGACGAUCCGUAGCUGGUCUGAGAGGAUGAUCAGCCACACUGGAACUGAGACACGGUCCAGACUCCUACGGGAGGCAGCAGUGGGGAAUAUUGGACAGUGGGCGCAAGCCUGAUCCAGCCAUACCGCGUGGGUGAAGAAGGCCUUCGGGUUGUAAAGCCCUUUUGUUGGGAAAGAAAAGCAGCAGGUUAAUACCCCGCUGUUCUGACGGUACCCAAAGAAUAAGCACCGGCUAACUUCGU